rnacentral:rRNA from 1 species
AUUGAACGCUGGCGGCAUGCCUUACACAUGCAAGUCGAACGGCAGCACGGGAGCAAUCCUGGUGGCGAGUGGCGAACGGGUGAGUAAUAUAUCGGAACGUGCCCAGUCGUGGGGAUAACGUAGCGAAAGUUACGCUAAUACCGCAUACGAUCUAAGGAUGAAAGCGGGGGACUCGCAAGAGCCUCGCGCGAUUGGAGCGGCCGAUAUCAGAUUAGGUAGUUGGUGAGGUAAAGGCUCACCAAGCCGACGAUCUGUAGCUGGUCUGAGAGGACGACUAGCCACACUGGGACUGAGACACGGCCCAGACUCCUACGGGAGGCAGCAGUGGGGAAUAUUGGACAAUGGGCGAAAGCCUGAUCCAGCCAUGCCGCGUGUGUGAUGAAGGCCUUAGGGUUGUAAGCACUUUUGUCCGGGAAGUAUAAUGACUGUACCGGAAGAAU